GCCGAUUUAGUUUAGUGGUAAAACAAGUCAUUGGUAAUGACUAGAGGCCAGUUCAAUCCCGGCAUUCGGCA
rnacentral:tRNA from 1 species